rnacentral:rRNA from 1 species
GUGGGGAAUUGUUCGCAAUGGGCGCAAGCCUGACGACGCAACGCCGCGUGGAGGAUGAAGGUCUUCGGAUUGUAAACUCCUGUUGAUCGGGACGAAUGUCCCUCGGCUCAACACGCCGGGGGAGUGACGGUACCGGUAAAGAAAGCCCCGGCUAACUCUGUGCCAGCAGCCGCGGUAAUACAGAGGGGGCAAGCGUUGUUCGGAAUUACUGGGCGUAAAGGGCGCGUAGGCGGCCAGCUAAGUCAGACGUGAAAUCCCUCGGCUCAACCGGGGAACUGCGUCUGAUACUGGAUGGCUUGAAUCCGGGAGAGGGAUGUGGAAUUCCAGGUGUAGCGGUGAAAUGCGUAGAUAUCUGGAGGAACACCCGUGGCGAAGGCGGCAUCCUGGACCGGUAUUGACGCUGAGGCGCGAAAGCCAGGGGAGCAAACGGGAUUAGAAACCCGUGUAGUCC